rnacentral:rRNA from 1 species
UACGUAGGGUGCAAGCGUUAAUCGGAAUUACUGGGCGUAAAGCGUGCGCAGGCGGUUUUGUAAGUCUGUCGUGAAAUCCCCGGGCUCAACCUGGGAAUUGCGAUGGAGACUGCAAGGCUAGAAUCUGGCAGAGGGGGGUAGAAUUCCACGUGUAGCAGUGAAAUGCGUAGAGAUGUGGAGGAACACCGAUGGCGAAGGCAGCCCCUGGGUCAAGAUUGACGCUCCAUGCACGAAAGCGUGGGGAGCAAACAGGAUUAGAGUACCCGGGUA